rnacentral:misc_RNA from 1 species
GAUGAAGAACGCAGCGAAAUGCGAUAAGUAAUGUGAAUUGCAGAAUUCAGUGAAUCAUCGAAUCUUUGAACGCACCUUGCGCCCUUUGGACAUUCCGAAGGGCAUGCCUGUUUGAGUAUCAUGAACACCUCAACUCUCACGGCUUGUCCGUGAUGAGCUUGGACUUUGGGGGUCUUGCCGGCCUGUGGUCGGCUCCUCUCAAAUGGAUCGGCUUGCCAGUGUUUGGUGGCAUCACAGGUGUGAUAACUAUCUGCGCUUGUGGUUUUCCAUCAGAUAACCUUCAGUGAUAUGGAGGUUCGCUGGAGCUCACAAAUGUCUCUCCUUAGUGAGGACAGCUCUUUGAACGUUUGAUCUCAAAUCAGGUAGGACUACCCGCUGAACUUAAGCAUAUCAAUAAGCGGAGGA